rnacentral:rRNA from 1 species
UACGGAGUGUGCAAGCGUUACUCGGAAUCACUGGGCAUAAAGCGCGCGUAGGCGGGUAUUCAAGUCGGUUGUGAAAUCCCCCAGCUCAACUGGGGAACUGCAUCCGAUACUGUCUGUCUUGGAGGACGAGGGGGAGAGUGGGAACUUCUGGUGGAGCGGUGAAAUGCGUAGAUAUCAGAAGGAACGCCGGUGGCGAAAGCGACUCUCUGGCUCGAUAUC